CAAAGAUGUCUGCCUUGGGCAAGUAGCAGUAUUGCUGCAGAGAGAAGGGAAAGAUGUUAGAAAGGAACAUCUUGCUACACUAAGCAAAGAUUUCACAGCCAGACCAGACAGAAGAAAGAGGAGAUAAGGUCACCUGAGACAAAGAACAAGCAACUGAAAUGUAGUGAAGUAAACUGAAGUCACUCUCCAAUGAAAGCCUGCAUUCUAUAGGCACCAACAAAGAAACACUGAGCAAGAGAGCAACUAACUCAGGAAUCUGCACUUGGAAACAAGCACAUGAAUUUUCUGUGACUUGUCUUCUUAGAGGAAUUAAUUCUGAUGUUCAGCCACCAGAACACAAGCAAUACAUCAAUGCUGCAGCAAUGACCACCACAUUUUGUGGUUGCCUCCGCCGGAUUUGGAAGCAGUACUCCAAACAGCUGUCACCACUCUUCAUUGAGCCCCAAGACUACAGGUGCAGGCAAAAGAUGAACAUUACAUAUUUGCCUUCAGCAGCUCUAGUAGCUAAAGGUUUUCACAAACCACUGCUGUGAUUGCUGUAGUUUAUGGUACAGAGGAGGUAAAACAAUAAUUGUGGCAGCCCUGGAUGUUACCUGGUAGCAGAUUUGCUCUGCAGGUGUAGUUUUUCCAUGGAGACAAUUUGCCUGCAAUCCCAGUCUCCUCGGCUAGAGGGUACCGUUAUCCUUCCAUUAGCCCGGCUAUUGCAGUUACAAAGAACAAUUCCACUUUUUCUACGUUUGUCAUAUCAAACAAAUGUUAAAAAAAACAUUCAGCUUGGACCUUUUCUGUCCUAGGUAUUCAUCCUCUGGCACGAGGCCAUGGUUUAUACUCAAAAACAGAAAAA